rnacentral:rRNA from 1 species
GACGAACGCUGGCGGCGUGCCUAAUACAUGCAAGUUGAGCGAUUAAGAUUGGUGCUUGCACCAAUUUGAAGAGCAGCGAACGGGUGAGUAACGCGUGGGGAAUCUGCCUUUGAGCGGGGGACACCAUUUGGAAACGAAUGCUAAUCCCGCAUAACAACUUUAAACAUAAGUUUUAUGUUUGAAAGAUGCAAUUGCAUCACUCAAAGAUGAUCCCGCGUUGUAUUAGCUAGUUGGUGAGGUAAAGGCUCACCAAGGCGAUGAUACAUAGCCGACCUGAGAAGGUGAUCGGCCACCGUGGGACUGAGACACGGCCCAAACUCCUACGGGAGGCACCAGUAGGGAAUCUUCGGCGAUGGACGAAAGUCUGACCGAGCAACGCCGCGUGAGUGAAGAAGGUUUUCGGAUCGUAAAACUCUGUUGGUAGAGAAGAACGUUGGUGAGAGUGGAAAGCUCAUCAAGUGACGGUAACUACCCAGAAAGGGACGGCUAACUACGUG